rnacentral:rRNA from 1 species
AUUGAACGCUGGCGGCAGGCCUAACACAUGCAAGUCGAACGGUAACAGGAAGCAGCUUGCUGCUUCGCUGACGAGUGGCGGACGGGUGAGUAAUGUCUGGGAAACUGCCUGAUGGAGGGGGAUAACUACUGGAAACGGUAGCUAAUACCGCAUAACGUCGCAAGACCAAAGAGGGGGACCUUAGGGCCUCUUGCCAUCGUAUGUGCCCAGAUGGGAUUAGCUAGUAGGUGGGGUAAUGGCUCACCUAGGCGACGAUCCCUAGCUGGUCUGAGAGGAUGACCAGCCACACUGGAACUGAGACACGGUCCAGACUCCUACGGGAGGCAGCAGUGGGGAAUAUUGCACAAUGGGCGCAAGCCUGAUGCAGCCAUGCCGCGUGUAUGAAGAAGGCCUUCGGGUUGUAAAGUACUUUCAGCGGGGAGGAAGGGAGUAAAGUUAAUACCUUUGCUCAUUGACGUUACCCGCAGAAGAAGCACCGGCUAACUCCGUG